UAAAAAAAACACAGACAUUCUGACGUUUAUGCAUAAUUUUAUUUUUGUUAUUUUGACAUUGUAAUAAUGUAAUAACAAGUAAAUAUUGCCUUAGUGUUUAUUCCCAACAGACAUGAAUAAAUGUAACAGAAAAAAAACCUAGCACUCGACACAUUCCAUCUAAUACCAGGAAUAUAUAACUUUACAUAGACUAGUUCAUUAACUGGGAUAAUUCCCAUGGGCAGUUGACCCCUGACCUAGUUAUGACCUUUAGGUAGGAGGUCAAAAAGGCAUUUAGUGUCUUAUAAGAAAGCAAAUAUAGAUUUAUAGAUUACAAAAUACCAAUUGGAUUUUUUUGUAUGAACAAAAUUUUUCCAUACUCAAAUAUAUCUUGUCUUAGGUGAGAAUCUAAUGUAUGUGAGGUUAUUAAAUAUUAAUAGAACUUCACAUAAAUUUAUCAUUUUUUCACAAAAUGUUACAUAUACCUUAAUCACCACAAAUUACAUCCAGAACCUUCAUACAUGUAACAAGGUCACUUUUUAUUCCAAGUGUCACCAACUACAGAAUACAUAUUUCCACAAGAAACACGACAAAUAUGUCAGAUAAAAUGUAUUGUGUAGAUAAAAUAGUUUGGCAGUUAAUGAUUCAAUCUAGUUACAGCUAUGUUAGCACCACAAAGAUCAGUGUUGACCACCGCGAGUGGUCAGUGGGGCUACAGUGUUGACCACCGUCAGUGGUCAGUAGGGCUACAGGAGGGAGAUAUAUACUCUAUACAACUAUACAAUCAACAAACUGUCACUUCAAACCUCAAAUAAUGGGAACUUGUCUAAUGUUUAAAUGAUGUAUUAGUUCGAAUUUCACUUCAGGAUUUUCUUCCAUCAAAACACCGAUAAAUUAUCAAAAUCUGGAUGAAUUUACAUUCCUAACUUCUUGAACAAAUUUGCAUUAAAUGAACAUCAAUAUUUUCUAUUUCUUUACAAAAUGUCAUAAAUAUCUUAAGUAAUUUCAUAUCUGAAAACUUUUAAUAACAAGAAGACAACUAUAUUCAGGAAAUAUGGUUUUCGGCUUAAUGUGACAUUCUGUUGCUUUUGUGCACUAAAUAUUUCUAAAAUAAAAACCUAUGAUACAAGGGCAAAAUUUAAAGUAUUUACCAAUCAGCCCACAAAUAUAGUUAUAUAUAACAUUUCAAUUAAGUUCCUAGUAAUUAGCAGAUACAGCUAUGUAACAAUAGACAAGCAUCCAAGACAGGUACACAGGUAUAUUACGGUUCUCACCGACAGGUACACAGGUUUAUUACGGUUCUCACCGACAGGGACACGGGUAUAUUACGGUUCUAACCGACAGGUACACGGGUAUAUUACGGUUCUCACCGACAGGUACACGGGUAUAUUACAGUUCUCACCCACCGACAGGUACACAGGUUUAUUACGGUUCUCACCGACAGGUACACAGGUAUAUUACGGUUCUCACCGACAGGUACACGGGUAUAUUACGGUUCUCACCGACAGGUACACAGGUACAUAGGUAUAUUACGGUUCUCACCGACAGGUACACAGGUAUAUUACGGUUCUCACCGACAGGUACAUGGGUAUAUUACGGUUCUCACCGACAGGUACACAGGUAUAUUACGGUUCUCACAGACAGGUACACAGGUGUAUAUACGGUUCUCACAGACCGGUACAUAGGUAUGACUACUGGUGUAUACAAAUCUCACAGACAGGUACACAGGUGUAUAUACGGUUCUCACAGACAGGUACACAGGUAUCACUACUGGUGUACACAAAUCUCACAGACAGGUACACAGGUGUUUAUACGGUUCUCACAGACAGGUACACAGGUAUGACUACUGGUGUACACAAAUCUCACAGACAGGUACACAGGUGUAUAUACGGUUCUCACAGAGAGGUACACAGGUGUGACUACUGGUGUACACAAAUCUCACAGACAGGUACACAGGUGUAUAUACGGUUCUCACAGACAGGUACACAGGUAUAUACGGUUCUCACAGACAGGUACACAGGUAUGACUACUGGUGUACACAAAUCUCACAGACUGGUACACAGGUGAAUAUACGGUUCUCACAGACAGGUACACAGGUAUGACUACUGGUGUACACAAAUCUCACAGACUGGUACACAGGUGUGACUACAGGUAUGUAAUGAUUCUCUCACACAACUAGGUAACCG
rnacentral:lncRNA from 1 species